rnacentral:rRNA from 1 species
GAUGAACGCUGGCGGCGUGCCUAAUACAUGCAAGUCGAGCGAACGGACGAGAAGCUUGCUUCUCUGAUGUUAGCGGCGGACGGGUGAGUAACACGUGGAUAACCUACCUAUAAGACUUGGAUAACUUCGGGAAACCGGAGCUAAUACCGGAUAAUAUUUUGAACCGCAUGGUUCAAAAGUGAAAGACGGUCUUGCUGUCACUUAUAGAUGGAUCCGCGCUGCAUUAGCUAGUUGGUAAGGUAACGGCUUACCAAGGCAACGAUGCAUAGCCGACCUGAGAGGGUGAUCGGCCACACUGGAACUGAGACACGGUCCAGACUCCUACGGGAGGCAGCAGUAGGGAAUCUUCCGCAAUGGGCGAAAGCCUGACGGAGCAACGCCGCGUGAGUGAUGAUGGUCUUCGGAUCGUAAAACUCUGUUAUUAGGGAAGAACAUAUGUGUAAGUAACUGUGCACAUCUUGACGGUACCUAAUCAGAAAGCCACGGCUAACUACGUG